rnacentral:lncRNA from 1 species
AAAAAAUCCUUGGUCCAUCUUUACAUUUCCGAAGUCUUAGACUAGCAAAUUUGACAUCAAUUUGAGAACCAAGUCCUCAUUUUUCGGCCUCUUCUACCAGGCCACACUGUUCAGUUAUUUUACGGAUUGCAAAUUGAAAAGGUACUUCAUUUUUCACCAUUCCAUUCAGGUACUCUGGGUCAAUGUAACUUAUCAAACAUUCCAUAUACAUCUGAAUUAUUUUCAUCAUAGGACUGACCAAGGUUUUAGCUGGGUAAGAAGUGACCCUUCCUUUUAAAGUUUUGGAUACAUUACAAAUAGAAGCCAGAAAUAACUACAUUGGUUAGACGUAUAGGGGGGCCUUGAGAUAUCCCAAAACAUGUUUAACACUGCCGCAUUUGUUGCACCUGUCCCAACUUGAGUCCGUAACCUCUGCUAUAUAGUCUUGUUUUUAUUUAAUUUUUAAAUUUUGG